rnacentral:rRNA from 1 species
GACGAACGCUGGCGGCGUGCCUAAUACAUGCAAGUCGAACGCAGUGGGGACGGGUGAGUAACACGUGGGUAACCUCCCAUCAGAGGGGAUAACACUUGGAAACAGGUGCUAAACCGAUACUGAUGGAUGGACCCGCGGUGCAUUAGCUAGUUGGUGAGGUAACGGCUCACCAAGGCCACGAUGCAUAGCCGGCCUGAGAGGGUGAUCGGCCCACAUGGGACUGAGACACGGCCCAGACUCCUACGGGAGGCAGCAGGAGGGAAUCUUGCGAAAUGGGAGAAAGGCUGAACGAGCCAAGCCGCGGUAGGGAAGAAGGUUUUCGGAUUGUAAAACCCUGUUGUUAGAGAAGCGGUAUCUAACCAGAAAGCCACGGCUAACUACGUGCCAGCAGCCGCGGUAAUUC